UCUUUCCUCGAAGAUGAGUUACAAGAUCGCGUUUCAGCUCCUCGUCCUCACUCACGUCUUGGAGGGCUCAAGACUUCUGCAGUUUGACAACACUGCCAGUUCUGUGGGAGUAGCCAACAGAGUCAGUUCUGUGGAAACUGCCAACAGAGUCAGUCCUUUGGAAACUACCAACACUGUCAGUACUUUGGAAGCAGCCAACAGAGUCUGUUCGGUGGAAACUUCCGUCACUGCCAGUACUUUGGAAACUGCCCACACAAUCAGUACGCUGGACUACAACAGCCCAACAAGAAUCAAAAUCGACCUCGUUUAGCGAGCUAAAACACGACGGGUCUCUGAUUACGUCAAAACUAAACAUUUUGUCCCUCACGAGAAAGGAUCUGGGUCUCAUGGAACAAAAUCUGGCUGGGAUAAUGUGGGGAGCUUUGCAUCGGAAAGACUGUCACGCGGUUUUGUUGACGUGGAAUGAGCGUCUCACUAGGAUCAUUCAUGUUAUCAGGUAUGGAUUCCUUCUGUCGGAGCCGGUAACCGUCGUAGAUCUGUCUCUUCUGGGAGACAGGGAUGAGAGACACCUUCCUGGUGAGAUCUGGAGGAACCCAAAAAUCACUUGUCGCACAGUGUUUGUGGACUGCUUCCCUGACUCGAGUUCGUCCUGUUUCAGAUUUCUGGAAUCUGCCAAACUGUGGAUGUGGCCGGAUACUCAAGUCGUCUUUGUGGGGAACGAGAUCAAAGCCACGUCCUUCCUGGGACACAGGGCUCUUCGCAACACGAUACAGCCUCUCCUCUUCAGCCUGGAGGAAGAUGAACCCAAAAACAUCAUUUCCUCGUCUGUCGAACUUUCGUCUGAAAGGAUCAUCCUAGCCGGGUACACCCGAUGCCUUUAUUGUCAAAACGGGUAUUCUAAGGUCGUGUUCCUCUUCCGUCGACCUCUCGAAGAAAUUGACCCCAAGCGGCUGAAUAUAUCUGUUGGUGAGUGGCUGUUCGUGCAAUUGUUUGUGAAGUCGUUUGCUUCAACGCAAC